CCUACGGGAGGCAGCAGUGAGGAAUAUUGGUCAAUGGACGAGAGUCUGAACCAGCGAAGUAGCGUGAAGGAUGACUGCCCUAUGGGUUGUAAACUUCUUUUAUAAAGGAAUAAAACGAGGCACGUGUGCCUUUUUGCAUGUACUUUAUGCAUAAGGAUCGGCUAACUCCGUGCCAGCAGCCGCGGUAAUACGGAGGCUGCGAGCGUUAUCAGGAUUUAUUGGGUUUAACGGGUGCGUAGGCGGGCUUGUAAGUCAGCGGUAAAAAUUCGGGGCUCAACCCCGUCCGGUUGUUGACACUGGGGGCCGUGAGUGGGCGAGAAGAAGGCGGAAUGCGUGGUGUAGCGGUGAAAUGCAUAGAUAUCACGCAGAACCCCGAUUGCGAAGGCAGCCUUCCGGCGCCCUACUGACGCUGAGGCACGAAAGUGCGGGGAUCGAACAGGAUUAGAUACCCCUGUAGUC
rnacentral:rRNA from 1 species